UACGUAGGGGGCAAGCGUUGUCCGGAAUCAUUGGGCGUAAAGAGCGUGUAGGCGGCCCGAUAAGUCCGCCGUGAAAGUCCAGGGCUCAACCCUGGAAUGCCGGUGGAAACUGUCGGGCUGGAGUCCGGAAGAGGCGAGUGGAAUUCCUGGUGUAGCGGUGAAAUGCGCAGAUAUCAGGAGGAACACCAAUGGCGAAGGCAGCUCGCUGGGACGGUACUGACGCUGGAGGCGCGGAAAGCUAGGGGAGCAAACGGG
rnacentral:rRNA from 1 species